rnacentral:rRNA from 1 species
CAGGUAGGCGGUUCGGUAAGUCUCUUGUGAAAGCUCCUGGCUUAACUGGGAGAGGUCAAGGGAAACUACCGGGCUAGAGUGUGGCAGAGGAAGCUGGAAUUCCCGGUGUAGCGGUGAAAUGCGUAGAUAUCGGGAGGAAUACCUAUGGCGAAAGCAGGCUUCUGGGCCAUCUCUGACGCUGAUCUGCGAAAGCUAGGGGAGCAAACAGGAUUAGAUACCCUGGUAGUCCUAGCCCUAAACGAUGCUCAUUAGGUGUGGAAGGUAUCGACCCCUCCCGCGCCGAAGCUAACGCAUUAAAUGAGCCGCCUGGGGAGUACGGCCGCAAGGUUGAA